AGUGUGACGUCAUGGAUGGAUGACUAGAUGGAGAGGAUGGUGAUGGAUGAAGAAACAGAACGGCUGGCUGCCCCCCUAGACUCACCAGACCGGCUGCGAGUGGCACCUGUCACCCACCGUGCCUGCGCCUCGCUGUCGCUUCUGCCUGUGAAUUCUUAAACCAGCCUUCCCAGGCCUGCACCCAUGCCCACCUUACUUAGCAGUUCCCAGCAGUGCCCCGUCCACACUUCUUCACAGAAUAGACCUUCGGUCAAUGCUGUUGACACACCUUUUGAUGUGUUUGAAAACGAAGAGUGAAGAUUCCUGGUGAGUGAGAGGUUUUCAUUUGCCCGAUAUGUUUUGGCUUCAAACCCUAAAACAGUCCUAGCCCCCGAGGUUUCAAAACCAGAACUGAAACAAUCUUCCUUCUAGAGCCAGGUUGCCACAGAGAAGGGCCUAGAGAAUAAAGUGCUUCUGAAUGGCUCCAUCCGAGGCAUAUCUGAAGACAGAAAAUUCCAAAGGCUUUCCCGGACGGCCUCUAGGAUGGGCUCUAUUAUUAACCUCCUGCGCGAGGCCGAGCUUCUCCCUGGCCUUGCGAGACUGAAAUGAGCUUCUCCCGGGCUCACGCCGUGGCUUUGUGGGCCACAACCACUUCCUAGAAGCCAAGUUCAUCUGAGAAAUGAGGGAGGCCCUGGUGGUUUGUGGUUACAGAAGGCGUUUCCUUUGACACUCAGCUGGGGGAAGGACAAGCAAUCCACAGCAGGCCCGAGAGAAGGGGAGCAGCGCCUGCUUUGGGAUGUCCAGAGGGCGUCCAACCCUUCUAGCAAGAAGAGCCCUCCCCUGCAUCAAGUGCUUAUUGGGGGGUAGGGGGGCAAAGGCCCUGAGACACCGGCAGCCACCUCGGGGGUGUCCCCGGUAUUCAGAGGGUGUCAGAGAAAGGACAGUGCAGGCCUGCUGAGAAAUGAGCUGUGUCCUUUGGAAUUGCUGAGUGGUCAUGGAGGGGUAGGGGUGGGGUGGAUGAGAGACAGACGACAGGUGUAUAACCAAAAUGCAACUCAGCCUGUAGACAAUUCCCAGCCUGUGGACAGUGUCUAAGCAUGUUCUACCAUCCACCCUUUCGAGAAGGGUCCUCCCAGCCCCGUUCACGAAAGACGAGGCUGACACUUGCACCCUCCAGGAUAAACGCUCCUGACAGCAGAGAGCCACAGGCCUCCACGACUGCCAGAGUGAGUGGAGGCCUCUCACAGCGUGAUGUCAAGGGCUCUGGGCAAACCUCCCAGCUUAUUAAAAAAAAAAAAAAAAAUUAAUUUUCCCAUGAAUCAGAUAAUACCUGAAAUUCCAUCAUCGCUUUGCCUGAGGCUUAAACGUCUGGAAAAAUACAAACACGUAGGGGGAGCACUCCAAAUAGUAUCAUUUACACCUCAAUGUCUAGAACCCUUCUGGAUCCUCUCCUGCCCGCAGGUUUCCUGAGGGGCGGGGCUGGAGCAGGGGAGAGAGCCAGAGAGUCAUGGGUGACUGAGGUAGGAGGAGGCCUGGGGGGCGGAGGAAGGGGCACAGGCUGGAAACCAGCUCCUAAACAAACUGGCCCUGCACAGUUUUGCCUGGGGCCACCCCGCAAGUCACUGUCGGAUUCACUCACUGUUGCUGCGCUCUAGAGAAAUCGGGCACCGGCCUCUCCCAGCAGGGCCCGCGUCUUGGGCACAGGCCUGCAUCGUGGCUCAGGGCCUCCGCACUCAGAAGGGCCCCGCGCUUGUGUGGUUUAAUGCUUUGUUAUCACCAUCUUGAAGAUUGUAUCAAAUGUUUUUUUUAUUAUUCAUU